GGGCACAUGGUGUAGUUGGUUAUCACAUCUGCUUAGCAUGCAGGGGGUGCUGGGUUCAAUUCCCAGUGUGUCCA